rnacentral:tRNA from 4 species
GCGCUCGUGGCGGAACAAAUGGUAGACGCGCCCGGCUCAAACCCGGGUGCCCAUUACGGGCGUGCAGGUUCAAGUCCUGCCGAGCGCA